CAGAUCGGCUCGCCUGGAAUGCAUGAGCAGUGUUGUCUUUCGACAUCUGGCUUGACUUGGCGUGAUAGGUUAUUUCGCUGAGGACAAUGUCUUGUGCAUUGGCCGAUUCGUUAGAUGAGGGCUUCUAAUGGUUAUGGGCUCGACCCUUAUAACUUCAUACCUUUGACCUCAAAUCAGAUAGGACUACCCGCUGAACUUAA
rnacentral:misc_RNA from 1 species